rnacentral:antisense_RNA from 1 species
CUAGUCCUGUUGAACUCAGAUGACUGCAGCCACAGGAGUGAUCCCAGAGUCUUUUGCACUGGGAGGAGAAGGUGGAGCAGGAGACACCCACAUUCUAAUUGGUCCCGGCUGUCUCCAAGAGGCGGUGAACCAGGAGUCCUACAGAUGUGAAGCUAGGUUAAAACCAGUUCUGGGGAUGCUUUCAAAUCAAAGAGGAUUUAAAAAUAUGACUCCCAGUUGCAUUUCCGGAGCCAAGCAGCAUCCUGGCUUGGGGGCCUGGUGUCUACCACACUUCUGCACAUUCUUACUCCAAGCCACGUCUCCUGAGAAUAAAGCAAGAUGCCAUUGGCAAUGUCUACUCAGAACUACUUGAAUGACUCAUCAAUCAACAGGCUUGAAUGCUCUUCUUCCUCUAUGAUUCAACGGUUUGAUUGACUGAACUGAAACUAAAACCCAAGCUCUAGUGGUCAUUUUAGACUUGAGCAGAUACAGUCAGAAUCUCAAUCACAUGUCAUCAACAGGCCCUCCUUGGCCUCCUUAUUGCAGCUGGGCUCCUGAGCAGCUCUCCCUGACUCAGGGAGAAAACGAAUGGCUCCUUUCAGUAGGGCAGACGAAGGCUGCUGGCUGAUGCAACUGCUUCUGUGUCCACUUAACAGCAAGGGUGCAAAACAGGAUUUGUGCUUGUGCUGGUGAAUCUGGGCUUCACCUAGCAAAUCAAGGGGACACCAAAAUGAAAACAGCCUUAGAGGCAUGGGAGAAAGCCUCAGGUGCACUAAGGUGCCAACAGAAACAAUGCAUCUCGGAGUUGACAGUCCUGACUCAAAUAGGACAUUAAGGCAACAUUUGGGUGAGAGUAGCAGCUAUGGGUGUAAAUAUGAUCAAAUACGGGGGAGGUGUCCAGAUUUCUCGGACAUGAUUACAAUCAGUAUUAAUUUUCUCUCUUAGUGAACGAGUUUUUGGUUUUUCAAUACUGCUAAUUUUACAGGCAAUUCACUAUGUUCCCUGGGAGGUGGAGUGGCCUUCCUCCCUGCUGUGCGUGGGUUACACAGCUCACCUCACGUCCCUGCAGGUCCUUCAUCACCUGCAUACUCGCAUGAUUCCAUUAUUUGAGCUCAUGGCAGGAAAUAGAACCUGAUUCAACAUUUUGCUAAGUAUUAUUUUCACCACACUGAAUAGGGUCCUUUUUUGAUCUGCAACCCACAGCUGGGCUGUGGUUCUCUCAACACACAUAGACUGAAAAGCUUCCUCCUGCAUUGAUUUCUCAGCAUGGGCUGACCACAUGUUCACAAGUACUUGUUCUUUUCCAUACGUCCCAAUGCAGGCAGGCACUGGCAGAGCAGGGCAGCUGUGUCCAGGAGUUCAGGGAGCAAAAUAAGACUACUGUAACUUCAGUCAACUUCAAGGCAUAGUGUAAAAUAAAGUAACAGAUUAUUAGUCAAAUAGCCAUUUGCAUUAAAAUUCUCCACUUUAAGAAGCUGAGAUCUUUGCUUUAUUUUUAAAAAAGCAAAAUGAAGUCAGUUUUAAUGGAGAUAUACAAUUGUUAACUGUUGGGUCAUUUUAAAAGGCUUUCUUCCUUAAAAUGAGUCUCAGCUGAUAGCUACUCACUAAUGCUGAUAAUUAUCUGAAGCAAAAUAAUACAAAUGUCUGGGUUAAUGAAGACUGAAACAGGAUAAUGCCUGGACACUAAAUUUUCCAAGAACAAAGAACACAAUUGUUCUCUACAUACCCCUGCAAAAAUGCUUAAUGGCCAGGACACAGGAAUCUUGUGUACUUAGAGACCUUGUUAGGAUGGAGCCCUGGGGGCACCACCACUGGCCUUCCAGCCAAGGUCUCACAGAGAGGGCAGCAAGGGGGAGCAGCUCAUCCUCCUCCCCAGCUGGGGAGACACUAGGACAGCAGGGGAGUGGAGUCCGAAUCCUGCCAUAGAAGCCCCAGCUUACUAUUUGCUCACUGAGCAGCAAGUCAACCUCAGUUUCCCAGUGUCUACAGGGGAGUAACAGCUGUUCACACUAAAGGGUGCUUGCGAGGAUGAUAUAAGAAUCAAUGUGGACCUGCUGUGACAACACUGAAGUUCCAGACAAAAGAACGGGCGUUAGUUAUCUGAUUUGAAGGACUGUGGGGGAUUGGAAUUUUAAAAAUAAACCUCAACCCAACUCCUCCUCUUGUGGGGCCUCGGUUGAACAACUGGGCACUUGCGCUGCCUUCUGAAUAUGUGGAUGGAUUUUGCCUGCUUUGGAGAAGCAUGUGAACUCCUCAGGGCAUCUAGUGCCCUAGAGUGUGCCAAAGGAACAAGGAGGACUACAAAUGGGUGAUGCCUGGAGCUUAACCCACCUCCAUUUGGGAUUCGGAGCUCUGGUUUCUGUGUUCAGCUAGAAUCUUUGACAGUCAUUUAAUGUCUCUCUUUCUUAGUUUUACUCAUUUGUUGAAUGGGGAUUACAUUAGCCUUACUUUCCUUGACGGUCUUAAUGAGAAUGAAAUGAGAUGAUUUUUAAGUAUAUAUAUGCAUUUCUAAUUUCCAUCAGACUGGAGUGUCAGUGUAAGUCCUGGGUGUUCUGGAAAGUUUUAUUUAUUUAGAAACAGUUUGGGCUGAUUGCUAUCUCCCUAUGCUAACUUUUUGUUUUUUUAGUAAACUUUUUAUUUUGGAAUACUUUCAAAUUUACAGAAAAGUUUCAAAUAUAACAAGAGUUCUCAUUUGCCCUUCACCCAGUUUCCCCAUAACUAUGGCUCACUGUAAAAACUAGGAAACCAAUACUAAUGCAUUACUAAUAACUAAACUAUAGACUUUUUUCAGAUUUUACCAGUUUUUCUACUCAUGUUCUUCUGUCCCAGGAUUCAAUACAUGAUACUGCAUUGUAUUUAGUUAUCAUGUCUCCUGAGUCUCUUCUGCUCUGUGAUGGCUUCAGUCUUUUCUCGUCUUUCAUGCAUCCUCAGUUUUAAUGGGUACUAGGCAGGUAUUAUGGACAAGCUUGGCAAAUCCACAGCCGAUGGGCCACGAGGCCCAGGAUAGCUUUGAAUGUGGCCCAAUACAAAUUCAUAAACUUUUUUAAAAAC